rnacentral:rRNA from 1 species
ACGAAGAGGUAUCGUAAUUGAAGAGGUUUGGAAAGACCCACCACAGAAGGUAAUAGUCCUGUAUGUUAAACGAGAAGACUUCAGAUAUGAUCCAGAGUACCACGGGACACGUGAAACCCUGUGGGAAGCAGGAGGGACCACCCUCCAAGGCUAAAUACUACCUAGUGACCGAUAGCGUAUAGUACCGUGAGGGAAAGGUGAAAAGAACCCCGGGAGGGGAGUGAAAUAGAACCUGAAACCCUGCACUUACAAGCUGUGGAAGCACAUUUCUUGUGUGACCGCGUACUUUUUGUAGAACGGGCCAACGAGUUACGUUAAGUAGCAAGGUUAAGCACUUAAGGUGCGGAGCCGUAGCGAAAGCGAGUUUUAACUGAGCGUUCAGUUACUUGACGUAGACCCGAAACCGGGCGACCUACCCAUGAGCAGGAUGAAGCGAAAGUAAAAUUUCGUGGAGGUCCGAACCCACGAGCGUUGAAAAGCUCGGGGAUGACUUGUGGGUAGCGGUGAAAUUCCAAUCGAGCCCGGAGAUAGCUGGUUCUCCCCGAAAUAGCUUUAGGGCUAGCCUCAAGGUGAGAGAUACGGAGGUAGAGCACUGAAUGUCCUAGGGGGUAUUGCACCUACCGAAGACUAUCAAACUCCGAAUGCCGUCAUCUUAUACUUGGGAGUCAGACUGUGGGUGAUAAGAUUCAUAGUCGAAAGGGCAACAGCCCAGAUCGUCAGCUAAGGUCCCUAAAUGUAAGUUAAGUGGUAAAGGAUGUGGGAUUGCACAGACAACCAGGAUGUUGGCUUAGAAGCAGCCACUCAUUCAAAGAGUGCGUAAUAGCUCACUGGUCGAGUGAUCCUGCGC